AUGGUUAAGUUAGAAAGGGCGCACGGUGAAUGCCUUGGCACUAGGAGCCGAUGAAGGACGGGACUAACACCGAUAUGCUUCGGGGAGCUGUAAGUGAGCUUUGAUCCGGAGAUUUCCGAAUGGGGAAACCCACUGUUCGUAAUGGAACAGUAUCUUUAUCUGAAUACAUAGGAUAUUGAAGGCAGACCCGGGGAACUGAAACAUCUAAGUACCCGGAGGAAGAGAAAGCAAAUGCGAUUUCCUGAGUAGCGGCGAGCGAAACGGAAUUAGCCCAAACCAAGAGGCUUGCCUCUUGGGGUUGUAGGACACUCUAUACGGAGUUACAAAGGAACGAAGUAAAUGAAGCGACCUGGAAAGGUCCGUCGAAGAAGGUAACAACCCUGUAGUUGAAACUUCGUUCCCUCUUGAGUGGAUCCUGAGUACGGCGGAACACGUGAAAUUCCGUCGGAAGCUGGGAGGACCAUCUCCCAAGGCUAAAUACUACCUAGUGACCGAUAGUGAACCAGUACCGUGAGGGAAAGGUGAAAAGCACCCCGGAAGGGGAGUGAAAGAGAUCCUGAAACCGUGUGCCUACAAGUAGUCAGAGCCCGUUAACGGGUGAUGGCGUGCCUUUUGUAGAAUGAACCGGCGAGUUACGAUCCCAUGCAAGGUUAAGCUGAUAAGGCGGAGCCGUAGCGAAAGCGAGUCUGAAUAGGGCGUUUAGUAUGUGGUUGUAGACCCGAAACCAGGUGAUCUACCCAUGUCCAGGGUGAAGUUCAGGUAACACUGAAUGGAGGCCCGAACCCACGCACGUUGAAAAGUGCGGGGAUGAGGUGUGGGUAGCGGAGAAAUUCCAAUCGAACCUGGAGAUAGCUGGUUCUCUCCGAAAUAGCUUUAGGGCUAGCCUCAUGUUGUGAGAGUCUUGGAGGUAGAGCACUGAUUGGACUAGGGGCCCCCAACGGGUUACCGAAUUCAGUCAAACUCCGAAUGCCAAAGACUUAUCCAUGGGAGUCAGACUGCGAGUGAUAAGAUCCGUAGUCAAAAGGGAAACAGCCCAGACCACCAGCUAAGGUCCCAAGUAUACGUUAAGUGGAAAAGGAUGUGGAGUUGCUUAGACAACCAGGAUGUUGGCUUAGAAGCAGCCACCAUUUAAAGAGUGCGUAAUAGCUCACUGGUCGAGUGACUCUGCGCCGAAAAUGUACCGGGGCUAAACGUAUCACCGAAGCUGUGGAUUGACAUCUUUGAUGUCAGUGGUAGGAGAGCGUUCUAAGUGCUGUGAAGUCAGACCGUAAGGACUGGUGGAGCGCUUAGAAGUGAGAAUGCCGGUAUGAGUAGCGAAAGACAAGUGAGAAUCUUGUCCACCGAAUGCCUAAGGUUUCCUGAGGAAGGCUCGUCCGCUCAGGGUUAGUCGGGACCUAAGCCGAGGCUGAAAAGCGUAGGCGAUGGCCAACAGGUUGAUAUUCCUGUACCACCUCCCGCCGUUUGAGUAAUGGGGGGACGCAGUAGGAUAGGGUAAGCGCGCUGCUGGAUAUGCGCGUUCAAGCAGUUAGGCUGAUGAGUAGGCAAAUCCGCUCAUCAUAAAGGCUGAGCUGUGAUGACGAGGGAAUUAUAGUACCGAAGUUCCUGAUUCCACACUGCCAAGAAAAGCCUCUAGCGAGGCGGGAGGUGCCCGUACCGCAAACCGACACAGGUAGGCGAGGAGAGAAUCCUAAGGUGAUCGAGAGAACUCUCGUUAAGGAACUCGGCAAAAUGACCCCGUAACUUCGGGAGAAGGGGUGCUCUGGUAGGGUGUAUAGCCCGAGAGAGCCGCAGUGAAUAGGCCCAGGCGACUGUUUAGCAAAAACACAGGUCUCUGCGAAGCCGCAAGGCGAAGUAUAGGGGCUGACGCCUGCCCGGUGCUGGAAGGUUAAGAGGAGGGGUUAUCCUUUGGGAGAAGCUCUGAAUCGAAGCCCCAGUAAACGGCGGCCGUAACUAUAACGGUCCUAAGGUAGCGAAAUUCCUUGUCGGGUAAGUUCCGACCCGCACGAAAGGCGUAACGAUCUGGGCACUGUCUCAACGAGAGACUCGGUGAAAUUAUAGUACCUGUGAAGAUGCAGGUUACCCGCGACAGGACGGAAAGACCCCAUGGAGCUUUACUGUAGCCUGAUAUUGAAUUUUGGUACAGCUUGUACAGGAUAGGUAGGAGCCUGAGAAGCCGGAGCGCUAGCUUCGGUGGAGGCGUCGGUGGGAUACUACCCUGGCUGUAUUGAAAUUCUAACCCGCGGCCCUGAUCGGGCCGGGAGACAGUGUCAGGUGGGCAGUUUGACUGGGGCGGUCGCCUCCUAAAAUGUAACGGAGGCGCCCAAAGGUUCCCUCAGAAUGGUUGGAAAUCAUUCGUAGAGUGUAAAGGCACAAGGGAGCUUGACUGCGAGACCUACAAGUCGAGCAGGGACGAAAGUCGGGCUUAGUGAUCCGGUGGUUCCGCAUGGAAGGGCCAUCGCUCAACGGAUAAAAGCUACCCCGGGGAUAACAGGCUUAUCUCCCCCAAGAGUCCACAUCGACGGGGAGGUUUGGCACCUCGAUGUCGGCUCAUCGCAUCCUGGGGCUGUAGUCGGUCCCAAGGGUUGGGCUGUUCGCCCAUUAAAGCGGUACGCGAGCUGGGUUCAGAACGUCGUGAGACAGUUCGGUCCCUAUCCGUCGUGGGCGUAGGAAAUUUGAGAGGAGCUGUCCUUAGUACGAGAGGACCGGGAUGGACACACCGCUGGUGUACCAGUUGUCUUGCCAAAGGCAUCGCUGGGUAGCUAUGUGUGGACGGGAUAAGUGCUGAAAGCAUCUAAGCAUGAAGCCCCCCUCAAGAUGAGAUUUCCCAUAGCGCAAGCUAGUAAGAUCCCUGAAAGAUGAUCAGGUUGAUAGGUCAGAGGUGGAAGCGUGGCGACAUGUGUAGCUGACUGAUACUAAUCGAUCGAGGACUUAACCAAAC
rnacentral:rRNA from 1 species